rnacentral:lncRNA from 1 species
AUGUCUAGAUAUAUCUUUGAGAUGUUGGAGGAACACAAAGUAGAGAAUCACUUCAUUUAUAUUGCGAUCAACAUGUCGCACUAGAAUAUCUUUUAGAUUUGGAAGUAUGACGCGUUUUCUAUAUAAGAGGUGAUGACUACAAUGUGGUCUUUCCUUUUGAUUUAUAUUACAAAACUAGCUGACGUGAGUUUAAUGUUUUUGUUAGAUGUAUAUAGAUGUGACUCUAAUGCUUUGCUACUAUUUGUUUAUUGUAUAUAGGUGGAAGUCUAUGUGCCAGUUUGGUUUGGCUUUUUCUGAAGAGCUUUUCUAAAAAGCUGGUUGUGGGGAAAAGCUGGCUGUGGGGAGAAGCUGGUGGUUAGAAUCUAGGUGUUUGGUUGGGCUGCUGUUGAGAGAAGCUGAUGGUUAGAAUCUGGGUGUUUGGAUACGAAGAUUAUGAGAUUGUAGAUUCUGAUUGAAAAAAAUAAAAUAGAUAAAUACACAGAACCAACUAGUGCAUUACAUUAAAAGAAGUAGAGUCCAUUACAACAUAACUAUCGAUAGGUUUACUAAUAACCUACGACACUAACGCAUUAGCAAUUGCAUCUCUAAAUGCACUCAUGUCUAACUCAUCAAAUGUGCUACUACUACUCUCACCUACAGGUACAUCAAGA